GUCGAUGAUUGUUUAUUUAAAUAAUGAGUAUAAUCCCAUGUGUAAAAAUAAACCUCGCCACAAAGAAUUUCAAAACUAACAAGUUAUGAAUGGGUAGUUAAAAUAUUGAAUGGUCAUCCAAGGACAUGUUAUGAAUUAUUUCAUUUAGAGAAACAGGUUUUUAUAAACCUUUGUGAGGGAUUAAAAGGAAGAACAGAAUUAAGAGAUUCUAAG
rnacentral:misc_RNA from 1 species